UAGCACUCAGGUAUUGAUUAGUCUGAAUAUCAGUGAUUAUUGAGGCCCUGCUACCUGCUGUAUUAGCUGUUUCAGGUGUGAAUAUUCAGAGCCCCCCCGGCGGUGCGUUCAGGCUGUCUGUAUAUUUUCCCUUCAGAUUGAGGAAUAAACACCUGAUGAAACUCUGAUGCAAACGGAGGCUGAGUGUUUCCCGCCGCCGGAGGCUCUUCUGGCAGAACUACACAGCCUCCUCUGACACGUCUCACCAAAAUAAAACACGUUUGAUGCCGACACGCUUCGCAGGACAAAUCCAGCGUGUGUUUUCUCAUCCGAUAUGUUUUUCAUCCCUUUAAUGUUUGUUCUGACUAAAGAUCAUUUUAAUCAGUUUAGUCAGAGCUCUCGGGGCUCAUUCACCUCCGUUCGGUUCGGUCUGUAAUCCGCCACGUGAGCGAGCAGCAGCCAGGUUGCAUCACGGCGUUAAUAUCAGUGAACACUCAGAGUGUGGAAGUUAAACCAGGACCAGCAGCGGUCUGGAGACGGGGGGAGUUCAUCCUUUCAUAUAACAGUGAUUUGUGACUCUGAGACGCAGAAUUAAUAAAGUUUUGAGGUUUUUUUUAGGUCAGGCCGCCCUGGAGGACCGCUGGGUCUGACGUUGUUUCUAUUUCAUCCUCAUAAAGAAAACACAACAGUGAGUUCCUCCACUUCAGAUCUCCUCUGACUGGUUCACUUCUGGCUGCACGCGGCAUUUUAUUUUGAAAAUGUACCGGAUUCUCUAUAGACGAUAUGUCACUUCCUUGUUUAUUUAGAAUGACCACGCCCCCUUUUGGGUGAAACAAGUGCUGUAAAAGUCCCCCAGUGGUUCUACGUCUAAAAGUUUACUUCCCCAAAGAGUGAAGGUCAGUAGUAGAAGAAGAGCUCUGUGGCUUUAAUCCACAGAGAGGAUGAAGAUGUCUGUGUCCAACUCUUCCUCACAGGUUAGUUAAUGACAGACAGUCAGUGAGUGUGUCUGUGUCCAACUCUUCCUCACAGGUUAGUUAAUGACAGACAGUCAGUGAGUGUGUCUGUGUCCAACUCUUCCUCACAGGUUAGUUAAUGACAGACAGUCAGUGAGUGUGUGUGUGUCCAACUCUUCCUCACAGGUUAGUUAAUGAUGUUACUGAGUCAAUGUGAGCAGAUUGUGUCUGUAGACUGAAGAGAAUCAGAGUCUCACUGAUGGUGGAAAUAAAGGUUUUACUUCCUUAAAACA